rnacentral:rRNA from 1 species
AGAGUUUGAUCAUGGCUCAGAGUGAACGCUGGCGGCAGGCCUAAUACAUGCAAGUCGAACGGCAGCACAGCAGAGCUUGCUCUGUGGGUGGCGAGUGGCGGACGGGUGAGGAAUACGUGGGAAUCCGCCCAGUCGUGGGGGAUAACGUAGGGAAACUUACGCUAAUACCGCAUGCGCCCUUCGGGGGAAAGCCGGGGACCUUCGGGCCUGGCGCGAUUGGAUGAGCCCACGUCGGAUUAGCUAGUUGGCGGGGUAAAGGCCCACCAAGGCGACGAUCCGUAGCUGGUCUGAGAGGAUGAUCAGCCACACUGGAACUGAGACAUGGUCCAGACUCCUACGGGAGGCAGCAGUAGGGAAUAUUGGACAAUGGGCGCAAGCCUGAUCCAGCCAUGCCGCGUGAGUGAAGAAGGCCCUCGGGUUGUAAAGCUCUUCUGUCCGGAAAGAAAAGCGCCGGGUUAAUACCCUGGUGUCCUGACGGUACCGGAAGAAUAAGCACCGGCUAACUUCGUG